UACGUAGGGUGCAAGCGUUGUCCGGAAUUAUUGGGCGUAAAGAGCUCGUAGGCGGCUUGUCGCGUCGGCUGUGAAAACCUGGGGCUCAACCCCGGGCCUGCAGCCGAUACGGGCAAGCUAGAAUUCGGUAGGGGAGACUGGAAUUCCUGGUGUAGCGGUGGAAUGCGCAGAUAUCAGGAGGAACACCGGUGGCGAGGGCGGGUCUCUGGGCAGUAACUGACGCUGAGGAGCGAAAGCGUGGGGAGCGAACAGG
rnacentral:rRNA from 1 species